rnacentral:lncRNA from 1 species
CUAUUUCUGAUUAGGAAUCUUAAUUCUAAUCUCAAUAUUAAUUCUAUUUUAGAAUUAUUAAACCUAAUUAACUAGGCCCACCUAAUUGCCGUUUAACAUGUUUUUGAAUGUAAUUAAAAAAAUUCUAAAAUAAAAUAUAAAAAUAAAUAAAAAAUAAAUAAAUCUCUGCCAGGGGUGUGAAAAAUGAAAGAAUGUGUGUGGCUAAAAUAUGGGCGCAUGACCAUAACUU